UACGGGGGGAGCAAGCGUUGUUCGGAUUUACUGGGCGUAAAGGGCGCGUAGGCGGCGCAACAAGUCACUUGUGAAAUCUCCGGGCUUAACCCGGAGCGGUCAAGUGAUACUGUCGUGCUAGAGUGCGGAAGGGGCUACUGGAAUUCUCGGUGUAGCGGUGAAAUGCGUAGAUAUCGGGAGGAACACCUGUGGCGAAAGCGGCUCACUGGACCAUAACUGACGCUGAUGCACGAAAGCUGGGGGAGCAAACAGG
rnacentral:rRNA from 1 species